UGGGCAACCUGCCCCUAGCACUGGGAUAACCCCGGGAAACCGGGGCUAAUACCGGAUAUGACAUGCUCUCGCAUGGGGGUGUGUGGAAAGUUUUUCGGUCUGGGAUGGGCUCGCGGCCUAUCAGCUUGUUGGUGGGGUGAUGGCCUACCGAGGCGACGACGGGUAGCCGGCCUGAGAGGGCGACCGGCCACACUGGGACUGAGACACGGCCCAGACCUCCGUACGGGAGGCA
rnacentral:rRNA from 1 species